CCUACGGGUGGCAGCAGUGGGGAAUAUUGCACAAUGGGGGAAACCCUGAUGCAGCGACGCCGCGUGAGUGAAGAAGGACUUCGGUACGUAAAGCUCUAUUAGCAGGGAAGAAAAUGACGGUACGUGACUAAGAAGCCCCGGCUAAUUACGUGCCAGCAGCCGCGGUAAUACGUAGGGGGCCAGCGUUAUCCGGAUUUACUGGGUGUAAAGGGAGCGUAGACGGGUUCGUAAGUCUGGAGUGAAAGUGCAGGGCUUAACCAUGGAACUGCUUUGGAAACUGUCCAGCUAGAGUGCAGUAGAGGUAAGCGGAAUUCGUGGUGUAGCGGUGAAAUGCGUAGAUAUUAGGAAGAACACCAAUGGCGAAGGCAGCUUACUGGACUGUAACUGACGUUGAGGCUCGAAAGCGUGGGGAGCAAACAGGAUUAGAUACCCGAGUAGUC
rnacentral:rRNA from 1 species